rnacentral:rRNA from 1 species
UACGGAGGGUGCAAGCGUUAUCCGGAUUCACUGGGUUUAAAGGGUGCGUAGGCGGGCAGUUAAGUCAGUGGUGAAAUCUCCGGGCUCAACCCGGAAACUGCCGUUGAUACUAUCUGUCUUGAAUAACGUUGAGGUGAGCGGAAUAUGUCAUGUAGCGGUGAAAUGCUUAGAUAUGACAUAGAACACCGAUUGCGAAGGCAGCUCACUAAACGCUCAUUGAUGCUGAGGCACGAAAGCGUGGGGAUCAAACAGG